UCUGUAGCAAGGUUAACCGAAUAGGGGAGCCGGAGGGAAACCGAGUCUUAAUUGGGCGUUAAGUUGCAGGGUAUAGACCCGAAACCCGGUGAUCUAGCCAUGGGCAGGUUGAAGGUUGGGUAACACUAACUGGAGGACCGAACCGACUAAUGUUGAAAAAUUAGCGGAUGACCUGUGGCUGGGGGUGAAAGGCCAAUCAAACCGGGAGAUAGCUGGUUCUCCCCGAAAGCUAUUUAGGUAGCGCCUCGUGAAUUCAUCUCCGGGGGUAGAGCACUGUUUCGGCUAGGGGGCCAUCCCGGCUUACCAACCCGAUGCAAACUGCGAAUACCGGAGAAUGUUAUCACGGGAGACACACGGCGGGUGCUAACGUCCGUCGUGAAGAGGGAAACAACCCAGACCGCCAGCUAAGGUCCCAAAGUCAUGGUUAAGUGGGAAACGAUGUGGGAAGGCCCAGACAGCCAGGAUGUUGGCUUAGAAGCAGCCAUCAUUUAAAGAAAGCGUAAUAGCUCACUGGUCGAGUCGGCCUGCGCGGAAGAUGUAACGGGGCUAAACCAUGCACCGAAGCUGCGGCAGCGACGCUGAUGCGUUGUUGGGUAGGGGAGCGUUCUGUAAGCCUGCGAAGGUGGCCUGUGAGGGUUGCUGGAGGUAUCAGAAGUGCGAAUGCUGACAUAAGUAACGAUAAAGCGGGUGAAAAGCCCGCUCGCCGGAAGACCAAGGGUUCCUGUCCAACGUUAAUCGGGGCAGGGUGAGUCGACCCCUAAGGCGAGGCCGAAAGGCGUAGUCGAUGGGAAACGGGUUAAUAUUCCCGUACUUGGUGUUACUGCGAAGGGGGGACGGAGAAGGCUAUGUUGGCCGGGCGACGGUUGUCCCGGUUUAAGCGUGUAGGUGUGUGUUCCAGGUAAAUCCGGUUCACUUUAACACUGAGGCGUGAUGACGAGGCACUACGGUGCUGAAGCAACAAAUGCCCUGCUUCCAGGAAAAGCCUCUAAGCAUCAGGUAACAUCAAAUCGUACCCCAAACCGACACAGGUGGUCAGGUAGAGAAUACCAAGGCGCUUGAGAGAACUCGGGUGAAGGAACUAGGCAAAAUGGUGCCGUAACUUCGGGAGAAGGCACGCUGACACGUAGGUGAAGUGAUUUACUCAUGGAGCUGAAGUCAGUCGAAGAUACCAGCUGGCUGCAACUGUUUAUUAAAAACACAGCACUGUGCAAACACGAAAGUGGACGUAUACGGUGUGACGCCUGCCCGGUGCCGGAAGGUUAAUUGAUGGGGUCAGCGCAAGCGAAGCUCCUGAUCGAAGCCCCGGUAAACGGCGGCCGUAACUAUAACGGUCCUAAGGUAGCGAAAUUCCUUGUCGGGUAAGUUCCGACCUGCACGAAUGGCGUAAUGAUGGCCAGGCUGUCUCCACCCGAGACUCAGUGAAAUUGAACUCGCUGUGAAGAUGCAGUGUACCCGCGGCAAGACGGAAAGACCCCGUGAACCUUUACUAUAGCUUGACACUGAACAUUGAGCCUUGAUGUGUAGGAUAGGUGGGAGGCUUUGAAGUGUGGACGCCAGUCUGCAUGGAGCCGACCUUGAAAUACCACCCUUUAAUGUUUGAUGUUCUAACGUGGACCCGUGAUCCGGGUUGCGGACAGUGUCUGGUGGGUAGUUUGACUGGGGCGGUCUCCUCCUAAAGAGUAACGGAGGAGCACGAAGGUUGGCUAAUCCUGGUCGGACAUCAGGAGGUUAGUGCAAUGGCAUAAGCCAGCUUGACUGCGAGCGUGACGGCGCGAGCAGGUGCGAAAGCAGGUCAUAGUGAUCCGGUGGUUCUGAAUGGAAGGGCCAUCGCUCAACGGAUAAAAGGUACUCCGGGGAUAACAGGCUGAUACCGCCCAAGAGUUCAUAUCGACGGCGGUGUUUGGCACCUCGAUGUCGGCUCAUCACAUCCUGGGGCUGAAGUAGGUCCCAAGGGUAUGGCUGUUCGCCAUUUAAAGUGGUACGCGAGCUGGGUUUAGAACGUCGUGAGACAGUUCGGUCCCUAUCUGCCGUGGGCGCUGGAGAACUGAGGGGGGCUGCUCCUAGUACGAGAGGACCGGAGUGGACGCAUCACUGGUGUUCGGGUUGUCAUGCCAAUGGCACUGCCCGGUAGCUAAAUGCGGAAGAGAUAAGUGCUGAAAGCAUCUAAGCACGAAACUUGCCCCGA
rnacentral:rRNA from 1 species